AAAAAAAUUCUAAGCAAGCUUUUCCCUUUUGGUUUGCUUUUGUUUCUUUGCCAAAAGGAGAGGACACUGAUGUCAAAAGAGAUGAUCUUGCAAGGGCUCUAAUGCUUGGUGGAGGUUAUCUAUUUGGGUUGCCUUUGGGGUUUGUUGCUGAUUCUAUUGGUGCAACAAUUGGUGCUACAACUGCAUUUAUUCUUGGUAGAACAGUGAGUAUUGUAGACCAUAGUUUUCUUUAAGGACAAUUAAUUUUUUAAUUUUCUUUAACUAGAUUUAAGAUGCUUGCAAGUUGAAAGUGCUUGUCAUAUAUUAGACCAUAUUUUCCUCAUUUAUUGUGUUUAGUUUUAAUAUUUGAUUACAGAUGCUUGCCUUAUAUUGAGCUCUAAUUUCAGAAAAUAAGAGAACUUCACUGGUUCUAUAGCAGGAUUUUACAUGAUCAAACCAAUGUUUGAUUAGCUUAUAUUUGAUUAUACUCUGUUUGAUUAGCUUAAUGGUCCAUUGAUUGUGAAGAAAACAUAAAAACUAAAUUCUUCUUUUGCUCAUUUUGGAUAUAGCCUUGCUCUCUUUUAUGUUAGUAGACUUCCAAAUCUUUGAAGUUAGAACCUUCUUUGUUUACUCUAUGCAAGUAGGAUAUGAUCUUCUGAUCCAAACCAAUAGUAAUUCAAUCUAGAAGUUAGUUGUACCAAACUAGUUUUUUAAGCUGUUGGUCUCGACAGAGUUGUUAAUUAGUUGUGGUGCUUAAGUAUAGAUGACUGUUUGAUCUUAUAUGUGUUCCUAGUUAUGGUUGUUGUGGUGGUAUUGUUUUUGUACCAGUGGCAGUAAGGAGUUAUUUAAAUAUUUAUAACUUGAUUAGUGUGCAUUAAUAUAGUUAGGGGUGUGCAUAACAUGGUUCUCUUGUUCUGUUUUGAUAAAUGUUCCUUGCAUAUUAAACUACACAUUGUGGAAUGUGUCCAGUAUAUAAUAUAAAAUAUUCAAAAGCAGCAUGCUCAAGUGGUAGAUUAAGUAAAUCUUGCUGUCUAGGUUAUGGAAUCUCAUUAAUUAUAAAUUAAAAUUGUUACUAUGUCAAAGGAAUUAAAAUACACAUUGUGGAAUGUGUGUUCAGUAUAUAAUAUAAAAUAUAUGCUCAAGUGGCAGGUUAAGUGUGAGUAAGGGGGUAGUAAUUUUGUUUCUUAUGUGUAUUGUUUAGGCUCCUCCAGUUUAUCUACCAGAAAGGAACUUGCCUCCACCUCCUGCAUAUGUGAUGAACAACCUGGUGACUGAAACCAAUAUGUAUCAACACCAUCCACCCCAGAAAUUGAUAUGCUCGGUUAUGUUUGGUUCUUGUGGGCUUCUUACUUAGGGAUAGUUCAAAAGUGUUCUUCUUCUUUGUAUUUUUUUUUAUCUGAAAGCAUGUUGUAUAAACUUUAUUGCAUGGUCCUCUCUUGAUGAUGCCUUGUCUUCUGUUUUUAUAAGUAUUUUUUCGUUGUAACAAAAGCUGUCUUUGAGUUGUUCCUUGAGUCACUGCCAUGUGUAUC